rnacentral:tRNA from 1 species
GGCCCUGUAGCAUAGCCUGGUAACAAUCUUCAGCAAAUGAUGCAAAGCAUCGCGACCAACGGGAGCAUCAUUCCCAUCAACGCUGAUAAGGGUUGGGUAAAUAGUGCUUCCGGCUUCGGACCGGAUAACCUGGGUUCGAAUCCCAGCAGGGUCA